AAAAAGGUGACAGGUCAUUUCUCCACAUUAGGCUGGCUUCGGGCUUCAUAACUCAGCAGGAUUCUGCAGCUUCACUUGGUCUUAGCAAAGAGGAGAAACAUGGGCCCUCUGGAAACAGAGUUUCAAUGGUUUUCCAGGAGACAAAAGAUAUACUCCCCAUCUGGAAGUUUGACACAUGACUUCUAAAUCAGGGUGGGGCUCUGUCAUAGCUGAGUGACAAAAUCAGCUGCACAACACACAGAGUCUCUAAGUUUCUCCUUUAUACACAGCAGAUGAAUCUAUGGUUAUUUCUUAGCAACCAAAUUUGAAGGGCAAAAAGACUGUGCCAAGAAAACUACAAGUGUAGUUUUUUUCCUGUCUUUUCUCUCUCAUCCAUGCACAAAAAAUAAUAUUUACCUAUUUAUAUUUGACAAUACCAUCUGUUUUUAUUGUGUGGAGAGUCUUAUCCAUUUAAGGAAGGCAACAACUUUGUGACUCUCAGUUGAAGAAAGGUAGAAAUGAAGAAGGCCUUAUGUAACACCAACUUGUGUCACCAACAGCAAGUGGAAAUAUUACAUCUUGCACAUGCUCUGACACUAGGUGUACUCGACAAUCAUGAUGAAGUUUCUGCUGGGUGCAAAGAACUGGCCCAGGUAAUGAAGGCAAUCGAAAGGUGUCACACUCAGACCUAAAUCUCAAAAGGAGCUUAUGCAUUGGUGAAAGAAGGCAUAAGUACAAGAAAGAUCAAACAAAUGAAUUAUACAGUUACAUCUUAAAGUAAUACAUGCUAGAAGAACAAUAGUCACUGUACAGGGUUUAUGAGUUGGACCAAGAAAGAUGCGUAAGAUUUAUAUAGUUAGGGGGUGAAGGAAUAAGGGGUAAAAGGGGUUGGUUAAUAACAGGGCACAUAAUAUUUUAUGUGGAGGAAUGGAACAACAAAUAAAGAAGGCAAAAGAAAGCCAAGGUCAAUUUAAUGAAUUAGUGAGCAGAUGCAUAGAUGGAGUGGAAUUUAUGAGACAGAAAUGAUGGGGCUAAGAGUAGAAAGGUGAUUAGGAUCAAAUGCUAAUUAAGUCUCAAAUUCCACACUAAAAAAUUUUCAAGAUUUAACUCAGGCCCAGAACAUAACAGGCACCUGAGAAAUUAUUGCUUUAGGGGGUAAAUAUGUCACUUUUAGAAUAUUCAAAUCUUUUUACAAGGAGAGAGGAAUUUAGGCUUGAUAUAAGCAGUAGGAAGUCACUGGUGGUAUCUGAGCAAGGGAAUGACAGAAAAAUACAUUUAGGGACAUACUAUUAUAUAUCAAGAAAAUUAAUUUGAAAGCAUCAGAAAGAAUUCAUUGGAGAGAGUUCAAGAUUGACAGCAGGAAGCCUAAUUUUAUAUUAGGGUAUAUAUCUAGGUACCUUGAGAAAUAAAACAUAAAUGGACUUCAAAAUUAAAAUUCUGAGUAGAAAAAUAGUUACGCUUUAAAAAAUUAAACUUUCAGAUUUAGCCAGUAAACUGAUGCAAAUGGACAAAGUAAUUAGAUUUUAAGGAAGCAGACGUUUCCUGAAAUUCUUAACUGACUUUUUCCAAAGAGAAAUAAAUUUGAUUUGUACUUUUUUAGACUAGGUAAUACCUGAGUACUCUGGUGGAAUUAAAUACUUAAUGGUAAAAAUACCACUUUUAGAAUAGGCAAAGAUUUUGUAUGAAGCUGUAACACAGAAGAACAGUCAUUUACAACACACACACAAAAGGGUGCCAGAUAUAUUCUGGGCCAGGUUAAACAUGCUGAGAUCAAACAUCAACUUAAGAAUACACUGGGCCCUGAAUCAAUGGAAAAAUCAUUUGGCAUUAUGACACUCACCAUGCAAUCAAACCUCUGUUUAAAAUCAAGUUACAAUUACUCUAAUUAUGGACAAACAUUUCAUUUGUUGCACAACUGGUACCUAAUCAAACACUUCUGUAGAAGAGAUGAUUUCACCACAAGGUAACUUAAUUUCAGUGCGAAAUAAGUCUUUUAAAUUAUUUUUAAAGAGUGUUUUUAACCAAUUUACAUGUCAGAAAUUUUAUUUCUAUAAAAAUUACUACAUGAACUAAGUCUAAAUCAAACAAAAAUGCCUUCCUCUACUUUGAAACAAUAGUCUUCUCUCAUAAACAUUUUAUUCAAAUAUUUCCCAGCAACAGGCUUGUGUGCACUAACCAGGAAGUGAAACCAAAUAUGAUCAUAUUGUGAAAGCAGAGUAAAAUGAAAGAACACAAUUGGAAUUAUCUGAAGCAUUAUUAAAAUUUCAUCUGAAAAUCCAAUUCCCUUGGAAACAACAAUUUAAUCAAGGAAGUAAUAAAAGGAAUUUCAAAAGCAUAAUUCUUCAUUUUCUUGUGUGGCAGUGUCCCCAGUCUUCUAUGCAAAUAUCUUUUCCUGUAGCCAGGCUGGCUCAUCUGAAACACAAGCUUUCACCAACCCGCCUGGUGAACACAGGGAGCAGGGUUAAGCAAUCAUUUUCAUGCUAGUAAAUCAACUCUGGUAUAAACGAUUGCAAUCUUUAAUGACUUACUUUGGAGAAAAAUGUAUCUUUUGCUUCUUAGGUAACAAGUAAAUCACAUUUCUCUUAAUUAUUUUUCUGUGGUUACUGUCAUUCCCUUUAAUCUAUUGUAAAUUAUAAGCUCUCUAAAACCAGAAAAUGUAUUUUACUGAUUAGUCUGCUUUUAACUGACUCAGUAACCUAAACAUAGUGAGAGUUAUUAUAAGUACCUAACGAUUAUUCUUAUUGUCUAAGGAUAGUGUUAGCAAACAAAACUCACUAUGGUUUACAUUUUUCUGCUAAGAUGGAUACUAAGUAGGAUCAUGAAUUUCUGGGCUCCAUUACCAUAUCUCUUAUUCCAAGGAGAUUGGGUGUGGGAGAAGGGGCUAGAAGACACCAUGCAAAAACAGAAUAUAUUCUCAUUUACUAAUUAUUAUUCUUUAUACUUAUUUUUAAUUUUAAGCAGGAUUUGAGUAAGCUUAGUAUUAUAUACAGUACAAUAUUCUUAUGAAAAUGUCCUAGCAAUCUAAAUAAGAAGGUAGUUCCUGAACUACCUAUGACUUCAGCAAGUGAUCAGGUAGCCCCUAUUAGACACUGCACAAACACAAUGCAAAUCUGAAUAUUAGUGCUACUCUGCAGACAAAGCAGACAUACUGCUGCUCUGUAUAAGAAUGAAAUGUAAAAGGAAAAAAAACUAUGAAUAAAUAAGCAGUGACAGACAAAUCUAUUAGCACGGUACAUGCAUGUAUAUAAAUAUAUAUAAUAAUCAAAUCAUGUGGCUAGUGAAUUCUAGAAACACUUGAGAGCCUACUAUGUUUUAAGAACAGUGUCACACUUAAGAAACUGAGUCAAUUCUAUUGCCAUGGUGUUAAGAGGUUGAAGAGCCUGGCUAGUGGGUCUCAUUCAGAGCUUGUCUGUGGACGCACCAAAAGUAUUGAGGCAGGCCAGACCGCUAGUCAGUCCCGUUUUCUUUGGGGACCCUCUUUUCUUGUUACUCCCUCACUCACUUUAUCAAAUACUGCACUUUCACCACAGAGCCUGAUCCUUUAUAUUUAUAUUCAUUGAAUUCUCUUGACAGGGAGAAUUCAUUGAGCAUUUGCUGUGGUAUGGGCUGAAUAAGAUAAGAAAGUAUAUUUCAUUUUCUAUCUAUCCUUAAAACACUUAUAAAGUUAGGAAAAUGAGAAAUUUGUACAAAAAGUGAACAGGAAAAAAAUGAAGGAUUAAAUAGUGGAGUGGAACAACUCUGAACAUCUAUAUAAUGCUCAAAAGUUUAUGGAGCAUUUUUUUCAUAGUCAUUUAAAUCAUACACUUGACUUUAGGAUAAGGAUACAAGCUCAGAGAGAAAAAAAAUUAGCUGCUGAUGACACAUGGCUGGUGAGCAAGAGCUUGAUCCUAUAACUGACACCAAACAUGGUGCUCUUCCAACCAUCCAAAGCUUCCUCUUGUAAGAUGAACAGGUAUAGCUCAGGGAAUGGAGAAGGCAACAUAGAUAAGGUAUCUCUGAGCCGUUAGGGAUAUGCAGGGGCUGGAGCAGGAAAAAAAUCUCCAGCGGGGUAGUGGGGAGGGAAAGAGCAGAGGGGUGUUGCCUGAGGAAGAGCAGUGAGGCUGCAGAGGAUCUUCACGGCCAGAGGGGGACGACUUCACAAAUAAAUGAGGCAGUGAGGACAUUUACGGUUGGAGAUUCCAGAAUAUGAGAGUAUGGCUUGAAUUGACUUACAAAAGAGAACAAUUAUAGAUUCUAAAAUAGAAUGCAAGCAAUAUUUUAGGAAAACUAACCUGGUAAGGCAUGAGAGAUACAAUGGGGCAGGAUCGGGGGCCGGGGGAAAUGAAGGUUUGGCAUAGCUAAGGUUUGACUGAGUACUGUUCUCGCAAGUGAACCUAGCGGGAAAGCUGAAGAAGCUAUAGAGAAAUAGCUUCAGCAAGAAGGAGGAGGAACUUUGCUUCAGAAAGCUACACUGAGGGCUCCUUUCUGGGUAUAGCUCAGUCAGCUGUUAGUCUGUUGCCAGGAGGUUGAGUCAGAUGCCUUUGUGAUUAUGUACCUUCAUAUCACUAAGGAAUCACAGCAAUGUGUUUAAUUUGCUUUUUAUUGCCUAUUCUUUGGCUCUCAAAAGACAAAGAGUUUGAAAGGGAGUAGUAGAGAGACUUGGAAGAAGGGAAAAUACAUCUAUUCCAGGUAGACAACCAUGAGCUGAUGGAGUGUUCUGACAGAAAGAAGAUGGCUAAGAAGAUGUGAGUUACUCUUCCGUGCUUGAUAUAUCCCACCAUUGAAACUUGGUUCGCAAAAAGUCCUCUUUAAAUGUGCCUUCCAGAACUGAAUAUGGCACAUUAGAUCUGACACUCCUGAAGCAGAUGGUAAAGUGGAGUUACUGCCAUUCUUGAUAAGAUGCCAACACUGGACUGCAACUCCACUUUGGGCUCACAGUCAAGCAGAACUCAAGUCCAACCAAUGAACCAGUGCCUACUAGCACUCACCAAGGCUCCACAGCAUACAUUCACAAAUCCUCCCCCACCAUCAAAUUUGGUACCAGGCCGCUUUUCCAACCCUUCCUACUAUGCCUUUGAACAUGCUCUCUAUUCUGAUAGGCUAGCCUAACCUAUUGUUCAAAAAACACAUAAUAUACCAUUUUUAUUAAAAAAAAUUCUUACUAUGGAAAUUUUCUAAUGUAUAUAGAAGUAUGAAUAAUAUUAUAAGGGUCCCCCAUAUACCAUUUACCCAGCUCCAACAAUGAUCAAUUCAUAUCACACCCAUGCCAGGUGUCUUGAAGCAAAUCCUGGAUGUAUCGUUUCAUCCGCAAUGAUUUCAGUACUGCAUACAUUCUUUCCUAUACACCUCUGCUCAAACAUUUCCCGUCCACCCCCUUCUUCAACUUUCCAUAUCUUAUCACAUCCUGCAAGCCUCACCUCCUACGAUGUUUCCACUGAACUUGUGAGUCAUAUGCCUUCUUGGGACAUCUGUCUUAUUGUUGUCUUCUUGUUCUUAACUCUUAAGUUGAACACUCACUGUCAUUGGCCUUGAAAGCAGGAAACCUCUCUCACCAUACAUAUAGUGCAAGAAUUCACGUUUAACAGGGAAAGAACCAAAGGAUAUCCAAUUGGUUUUAUAGAGUUUAUUAAAAUUUGACACAACAAUUUUAUUCAGCAUAUUAACCAAAUUCUGUAUGUGGGAAAUGUCUUGGUAAAUGCCUUGGACAGGGCAUGCAGACACAGUAUGACAGGGUGGAAAGAAGACUGGACACAGAGCUAAAAGGCCUGGUUCUUGUCCUGCCCUUCUGUUUACAUGCUAUUUUGGGUAUAUUGUGUAACUUCUCUGAGGAAUAGGAAUUAAUUUCAGUCAUUCUUCCUCUCUCCCUCUCUAAAUUGUCGGAAUCAAAUGUGAUUAUUAUGUAAAGAUGAUUUUAUAACUGAUAAAGUACACUGUUGAUGCUCAUCUUUACCUGUAAAUGCAGAAAUCAUUGACCAUAUCACUAGACAACAAGAAGAGCUAUUGGUUUGAAUCCUAAAUGUAUAAGGAGAAUAAAUUUAAACUCCCAACAGGAAAAAAGGGAAUGUGAUAGUGCAGAGAUCAGAUGGGAUUAAGAAUCAAGAAAACUCACCCUGGGAGGAAUGUAACAGCAUACCUAGUAUCUUUUUUAGACCUCAAAACCACUGCCUUAUAAUUAAACAAAUUAGAAAUUACAAAGAAAGCAAUAUAUGUUUUCAACUAUGUAAGAAAACUUCCUAUUACGUUAAAAAUUGAAUUAAAAGGCAAAAUUCAACAUCUGAUUUCCUCUUCAAAUAAAACUUUCCAAUUGUAUCCAAUAAAAUGGUUAUAAUUUUGAGUUUAUGCUCUCCUAGGACAUUCUCAAUGUCUUUGACUUCUCAGUUUUGCAUUCUGCUUUUCCAAAGGAAAAUCAUUCAUAUCAAACUGCAAAGAUCUAUCAUGUUACAUCAAACAGUACUUAAAGUCAAUAUAAUUGAGGUUUUUUCUUCCUCCAGUAGAAAAGAGGAUAGAUGGAUUUAUCAAGAAAGCACUGUUCUACAAACCAUCCUGCAAACUUCACUACCAUCCUGCGAGAGAUCUGCAAAUAGGCUUAGCCCAUCUAAAGUACCCACUGGGAUAUUAUUAUUAUUAUAAGGUUUCUUACAAGCAAAUAAAAAUUACAGGCAUUGGAGAAAAGGCUUAAAUUUUGUAAAACUCUGAAUAAUCUAGGCCAACAUAGGAAAAGGAUUUUUCAACUUUGGACAUUAAUAUGACUUAGCAAUAGUCGAUAAAAACAACAGCUGCUGAGCCUGGUAAAUCCAAAUGAGAUUAUUAGGUCAAAAUCAUAGAAAUACACAGAGAACAUUCCAAAAUUCCCAGCACACUGACAAUAAAGCACCCAAACCAGAAUCUCAUUAGGGAAAGAAACAUUUUGUUUAGAAAUAAUUUUUUUUUACUACGACUUUACCAUGUGUAACAUCUCUGGGAUGUUACUAGAGAGGAAAACAAUAAGAAUCAAAAGUGUAAACUACUGAACAAUAGCUUCCUUCAUUUCCCUUCCCUUCUCAUGAAACCCUACUGCACACACCAAAUAACUAUGUAUUCUUACACCUUGUUCUGCAUAAACAGACAUUUAUAGAGAUUUUAAAAAUCAUCUGGGCGCAGUGGCUUAUGAUGGUAAUCUCAGCACUU
rnacentral:lncRNA from 1 species